CCUGUGGAGAAUUGCAACAGACAUGUGAUAAAGGGUAGGAACAGGGAGUGACCAGAAGUGUUCUGGGUGAAAAAGCACCAGAAGAAACAAAAAGGAGUAUGGUUAUGGGAAGAGCACCAGGUGAUGACACUGCAAUCAGUGGGUCACCGAGAUUCCAGCUCAUGUUCAGUUUCUCAGGACACACAACUCAUUAAACAAAGGGGAGCCUAGAGCAAGGGACAACUGAUAGCACUUGAAACAAAGACUAAGCCAGCAAGAUGGUGGGGAGGUACAGAGGAAGGUAGGGACACAUCAGCCGCAAGAACUUCCACACAUUUAAAACUUAAGAUAGUGGGGUCAUUUAUUUCCCCCGCUUUGUAGAAGUACCUCGGCUACAAUUGUACCUCUGCCUAUGACUGAACCACCUGCUAUGUAUGGUACCAUAUAGAUCACAUGUAUCACACGUGCUCAUAUAUCUUUAGUCACACUGUGCUGUGCAGGAGCCCUCAUUGCAAUUGUUGCAGCACCUUCUGAUCCCCACAAACCAUCUCCCACCCAUUUCUGCAGGAAUUGCAUCCACCUCAGUCUGCAUACAAGCCUCAGUGGCUGCUGCUUAUAGACAUCUGUGUGGCUGUCUUACUGGAAACAAACUUCAGUUGCCUCAGGCUGCACAAAGAAGGACUCUGACAGUAAUAUUGCUACUAUCUGGUUGUGGCAGAUGCACUCCCCACCUCCCCUCUGAGAACUGAUGUGGCAGUUGCAUGCACAUCCCCCUCUCCUUCAAUGGGGCAGUUAAUGGCUCUUUUGUGAGACCCCUGAGUCCAUUGGCCAGGGUCGUUAGGAGAGGAGGGGGGGUGCAGAGAAGCUGGGAAGCUUCUGGGGCGCCCACAGCCAAAGUAGCGGGGUGCAGAGAAGCCAAGAAGCUUCUGGAAUGCCCACAGCCAGAUCUGAUCAGACUAUAAAACAGGGUGCCCGCUGAGGAUCCCCUUUUUGUGUUCUUGGAGCCACAGGUCAUCUGAAGCCAAGAAGCCCUCCCCUUAGACUGGGAUGCCGUCUAAGGUAACUUCCUGGGAAAGGGAGCACCUCACCUCCUCAUCUGGAAUGAAGUCUGUUUUGGACUCUGUUGUCUGCCUGAAACUGACUCUGGGGUGCCUCCGUGACACUCGUUCUAAAGUAAGUAUAAUAGCUAAUGCUAGCGGAUUUUUUCCUUUGACAGGUGAACCUUGGUGUUAUAUGCAAUACUUACUGCAGUGUGCACGUCUGGAAUACAUUCAUCUCUUGUCUCAUCUACUGCAAAAUCCGUUAUGGGUAGUUUUUCUUGUUCUGAAGCCUCCUGUUUUGGAAAUGGCUCUUCUUCAGGAGUGACUGCUUUGACAAUCUGAGGGUCUCUGUCUUCUGAUGAAGGUUCCUCUACUGUUCUCUGAGCUUCUGAUAUUUCUUCAUGGUCGUCUACAACUGGUUCCUCACAUGUCUGACACUGGCUUUCAUCUCUUGAUACAUCUACAUUUUCACAUCCUUCUGUGCUUUCUUUUGUUGAAGCAGAUAGUUCAAUUCUCUCAGAAGCUUCUGGUAGGACACUCCCUUCAAGUCCAGUUUGAUCCUGAAUGCUCCCUGCACUUCCCAGUGCCUGGAGGUCAUCUUUAUGUUCUUCUGUUUUUAAGGACUGGUCAAGCAAAACAGUUGCCUGGCCUACAACUUGCCCAUCUUUAGCAUCAUCUUUCACUUCUGACUCAAUUCCUUCCACUGUUGUAAUUACAGUUUUUGUCAUGGUUCUUUCACUAACCAGCUGGGCUGCAUCUGCUGACUUUACUCUUUCAGCAACUUCCUGAAGAACUUUCUGUGUUUGUUUGUCUAACUCUUUUAGAUUUUGUUCAGUGGCCUCUACUUCUUGUACAGGUGUAACCUCCUCUGUAGUAUCUGGGGUUUCUAACAACUGUGAAACAGCAGAAACCAUCUCAGUUGUCUCCUCAGCAAAGGAUACUUCCAUUGUUCCUUCAGCACAGGAAGCUUCUGCUGUCUCUUCCAGAGCUGUCACUGCUUCGGAGGUUAGCUCUAGCUCACUUGCUGUGGUGUCGUCACUUUGAUCCUUUCUCAUCUCUGGCUCUGUCUUAGCAGCUACCACUGCUUCUUCCACAAGAACAUCUGAUUCAAAUGUUAUCUCAGUUUCCUUCUCUUCCUCUUCUUUUGCCUGCUCAAUGCACUCUGUCAGAGCAGCAGAUAUCCAGGAUGGUGACCUUUCUUCAAUACUGCUGACUGCCCUUUCCCCUUCCACAACGGUAACAGUAACCACGUGCACCAGUCCUUCAUGUCCUUGUUCAAUUCUCAGGCUCUCCUCUAAUUUUUCGGCUCUCUCUUCCUCUGAGGUUCGUUCUCUCAUCACUUCAGCAUCUUUUGUUUGUUGGGCUUCCAUUUUUUCCUGCUCUGCUGCUUCAUAUUCAGAUAAAGGAACAACAGCUGGAAUAUCUGAAUCUUCUUCAGCUGUUUCUGCCAUGUCUUCUCUUGUUUGUUUAAGAUUAUUUGGUUCUGGCUUCCCAUCUGACUUUUUCUUCCUACGCCUAGGCAUCAGUUUUCUAAAUGGAACCCACGAUUCAUCUUUUCCAGGCUCACCAUCUGAUGUUGAAUGCUCCAGGCUGGAUCCCACCACAGAGUCUUCAGUCCUCUCUUCCAUUCUGGUUUUGGAUUUCCUUCUUGGAGUGACUAACCUUUUAAAGGAUUCCCAUGUUGAAAUACCUUCACCUUCAGAUGGGCUUCCGGCUUGUUCUGGGGAAGAAUUCCCUUGUCCUUGAUCACUCUCCUGAGAGCUAGUAAGAAUUGCAUCUGUUACCGUUUCUUUGGUCUGUCCAGGCUCUUCCACUUUUUGGCUUUCUUGAGCAAGUUUAUGUUCAGUUUCUUCAUCAGAUGAUGAUGAUUUUCUCCUGGCUCUUUUCUUUGAAGAACCUACACAUAUAAAAGCUUCCCAGGACACAGAGGUGUCAACCUUUCUUUUGGGCUCUUCCGUGGCUUUCUCUGGUUUCUGGUCCAUCCCAUUUUCUUUGAAUUCUCCCUGCUUUUCAUCAACAGCAUUUUCAGUUGCAGACACUGCAGCAUCCUUUGUCUUAUCAAUUUCUUCUUCUUUAUCACUUUCAGAAGGUCUUCUGACACGUUUCUUGGGAGUCACCAUCUUUUUAAAUGAUGCCCAGGCUGUAACACUUUCUCUUUUCCGCUCCACAUCCGAGGUUGAAGCUUCUUCAUUUUCAGUGACUUGCAUUCCAUCUGCAGAUUUUUCCAAAGAAGGAAUUUCAUUCAUCUCAUCAGGAGAAGAAGCAGAACUCUCCCCCUUCUGUUCCUCUGGGCUAUCCGGGGAAUCUGAUAAGUGUUGAAUUGGUUCACCCUGUUCCCCUAACUUAGAUUCUUCUCUUUUGCCUUUUUGUUUCUUCCCAGACAGUUUUUUUAAUCCAGUCCCUGUAAAGAGUUUCUUUAAAGGGCUGCCUUGUGGUCUAGUUUUUUCUUGAGAAGACAACAGUUCAGCUUCAUUUAUGAUACCUUCUGGAGGCCUCUUUCCAGCUGCCUCUUCAGGAGUUAUUUCUGUGGUUAUUUCAUCUGGUUUGACAGUAUCAGUCAGAACUAUGCCAGUUUUUCCCUGCAGACCUUCAUCAAUGGGUUUAAUUGUCCGUUGAUCAUCCUCCGCGUCAACAGAACAUUCAGAAGUAGAAAAGGACUUCAACGCAGGAGCAUCCAGAGUCAGUUUUGUCUCAUGCUCUUUGCUUGCUUUCUUCUCUGUGGUUCUAUCUUGAGCUUCUCCUUGUGUGUCUAACUUUCCAGUUAUGUCUUCUGAUGUGGGUGAAAUUUUCAAUUCUGCUUCCUCUGCUUUUUCAUCACAAGUUUCUUUCCCCAGUGGAGAAGGUUUAUUUCCUUCUCCUUCUUCAGAUUUUUUGAGCUGUUCACUAGAAAUUUCAAUAGCCAAAGAUCCUGCUUCAAGUUUCUCUUCAGAGGCUAUUUCAUUUCUGUCCUCUGUUUCACACUUGACUCCAGUUGACUCCGGUUUUUCUCCCACAGGUAGUACUUCAGAGAACGUUUUCAAUUCUCCAUUCACACUAUCAGUGAUAACAGGUACCACUGACUUUGUUUUUAGUGGUUUCUCUGUCACCUCACUUUCUUUCCCUCCUUCUUCAGUUUUUUCUUC